GAUGAACGCUAGCUACAGGCUUAACACAUGCAAGUCGCGGGGCAGCAUGGGGGUUGCUUGCAACCCUUGAUGGCGACCGGCGCACGGGUGAGUAACGCGUAUCCAACCUGCCCUUCACCUCGGGACAACCCGGUGAAAGUCGGACUAAUACCGUACGUCGUCCAUUGACGGCAUCCGAUUUGGAUGCGAGGCUUGGCGGUGAACGGACGGGGUUGCGUCUGAUUGGCUUGAUGGCGGGGUAACGGCCCUCCGUGGAUUCGCUCGGUAGGGGUUCUGAGGGGAAGGGCCCCCAGAGGGGAACUGGGACACGGGCCAGACUCCUACGGGAGGCAGCAGUAAGGGAGGUUGGACAAUGGGCGAAAGCCUGAUGCAGCCAAGUAGCAUGCAGGAAGGCGGCCCUAGGGGUUGUAAACUGCUGUUAGGAGGGGAUAAAGUGGCCCGCGUGUGGGCUAUUGCAGGUACCGCAUAAAUAAGAACCGGCUAAUUCCGUG
rnacentral:rRNA from 1 species